UACAGAGGGUGCAAGCGUUAAUCGGAAUUACUGGGCGUAAAGCGCGUGUAGGCGGCUUAUUAAGUCGGAUGUGAAAGCCCUGGGCUUAACCUGGGAACUGCGUUCGAUACUAAUAGGCUAGAGUCGGGCAGAGGGUGGCGGAAUUUCCGGUGUAGCGGUGAAAUGCGUAGAUAUCGGAAAGAACACCAGUGGCGAAGGCGGCCACCUGGGUCCAGACUGACGCUGAGGCGCGAAAGCGUGGGGAGCAAACAGG
rnacentral:rRNA from 1 species